rnacentral:misc_RNA from 1 species
AACGCACCUUGCGCUCCUUGGUAUUCCGAGGAGCAUGCCUGUUUGAGUGUCAUGGAAUUCUCAACCCAAAGAAUUUUUUUUAUUUUGCGGGCUUGGACUUGGAGGCUUGUGUCGGCUCUAGCUCAGUCGACUCCUCUAAAAUGUAUUAGCGUGAAUCUUACGGAUCGCCUUCAGUGUGAUAAUUAUCUGCGCUGUGGCUGUGAAGUAUUUAAUUGACUCAUGCUUACAAUCGUCUCUUGGGAGACAGUUAAUAUGACAUCUGGCCUCAAAUCAGGUAGGACUACCCGCUGAACUUAA